UGCUUCGGGGGCAAUCCAAAGUAAGACUGUCCAAAGUAAGACAGUCACAGUCAUGUUAAUAGAAUUCCCACCAGACAGCGGUUGAUUGUUCCAGAGGCCAAUGCCCAGAGCAGCAGGAAGUGACUUCAUCAAGCCAGAGUGGUGAAUUAGUUCCAGUUGUUUUUCCUGAGCCUCUCAACAACAGGAGAGGCAAGCAGAGCACAGUAGGAACUGAAUGGGGUUUGCGUGAAAGAAAAAUCCAGGGAAAGGUGUCCUGCAGAACGUGCACGGUGGAGUCUAGUUCCUGUCCCCUAGAGUGUGGGUUAGCGUUUAUGACGGCCUUCAUGAAUGAGUGCAAUAGAAGUGACACUGUAUGAUUUCUGAGGCUGGAUCAUAAAAGGCGAAAGAGAAACCACUGCAAGCUGGCUUUUGGGAUGCUCACCUUUGGAACCUGGCCGCCAUGUUGUGAGAGAGCCCAGGCCUCGUGGAGAGGCCACAAGUAGAUGUUCUGGCUGACAGCAAUCAACAAUUGCCAGAUAAACAACUGAAUAAGCAUUCAGAUGACAUCAGCUCCCAGGCCUUGGGGAUUCCAGCUAAGGCCUCAGACAUUGAGGCACAGAGAUAGGCUGCUCCCAGUGUGCCCUGCUCACAUUCCUGAGCCAUUAAAACCACAGAGACACGAAAACGAUGUUGUUUCCAGUCACUAAGUUUGUGUGUGAUUUGUUAUGCAUGAAUGGGGGCUGAAAGAGGCAACCAGCCCUAGGGCAGACUUAUCUACUCUCCCACCUAAACAAAUCCUUUGUUUUAUAAAAUUUAAGUUAGGAUGGGAGACAUAGAGAUUGUUGGUGCUUGAAGGAACCCUGGGGAUCACUUGACCCAACAUUCCCUCCUCUUCUCCUGAGAGUCAGAUGUAGAAUGAAUGGUGAAUGCUUGACAGUAAGGUCAGCUUUAGGGUUGUUUGAAGGAUGAAAUGAUAAAAUGCACAGAAAAAUGCCUGGCACUUAGUAGUUGCUCAAUAAAGCUUAAUUCUCUCUUCC
rnacentral:lncRNA from 10 species